rnacentral:pre_miRNA from 1 species
AACAAUUUUCGAUCUCUGUGUAUACAGAUCUUCUUACACACAUGUCGAAACUUGAU